UGUGAGAGGCGGAGACUUUUAAAAACAUUGCUAAAGGUUCGAAGAACUGGAUUUCGUGAGGUAAAUCUUACCCUCUUCAAUCACUAGUAUCUGCUUGAGACAAGCAAAACAUUGGCAUUCACGUGCCCUCUUUAAAAAAAUCCACGACCUUAACAAACACUGACGUUUUACACAACAAAAUACUUAAAAUAAUUUUUUUACUUUCCAUUUUGAAACCUUGACGUAUUAUCAUAACCAGUUUGAGACUGCUGGUCAUUACAUACUAACACAAGACCUUCUUUUUUCCACAUCAGUUAUCUAAAUGAUUCUCCUUCCCAUUUUUCUUAAGAACCUGCUUAAACCUUGAAAACAUUAAAAAUACCUCAUGGUACUUCUUAUUUCUACAUUAUUUUACGAUUUCACUGUCUUUUGUUACUAAUGCAUCGCUGACAUUAUUUAUGUUCAAAGAUUUUUAUCUUCAAGAGUUGGUUAUCCUGUUCCUGCUGCCUAUACCUUACUGAAAUUGCAUUUUUGUCUAAGAUACAGUAACUUACAUAUCAAUGACCUGUCACGUCAUAAAUACAGGACGGAAACAGCAUGAGCAGGAAGGAUGUAAGAUCCAUGGAAGGACGGCAACAAAGUUUUUGGGCGAAGCCACAGUAACACUACGAAAAGUAGUCUGUCACUGUCUCUAGGGCAGUGCUGGCGGCUGAAGGAGACGGCUGCGGACAGACAGACAGACACGCUGCUCACGGUUCCUGCCUCGGGGAGGGUGGCUCUGCCGAGGCGGAGCAGUCUGCCUGGACUUCCAUGGGCUGCAUGGGUCUGAUCUGCAGGCAGCUGCUGAAACCAUAAUGCGUAAUGUCAAAAAGGUUUUCCUAGAUUGCUGUAAACAUGUUCUGCUUUGCUAUGCUAAAGCAUUUAAUCACAAAAAUUACCUCUUUUAGGGAAUUCUGAAAGCAAAACGUGAAAGAGGAAAAAAAAAGUUAGUCUCGUGAUUUAUUUUGAAUUGUCUUAUUAGUAGAUCUCAACUCAAUUUAAAAAAAAAGGAGAGAGGGAAUGUAAAAAUAGGAUGUGAUUAAGUGGAAUCAGAAGAAAGGGGAAAUUAGGUUAAAAAAAUGGAAGAGAAAAUAGACUCAGUAGGGAUGUACAGCACAACGGCCACCUUCUGGGUGACUACUGUUGGCUUGGAUCUUUAAAGCAGAAAAAAUGAAAGGACAUUCAGUCUAAACGAGAUCUCUCUGAUAGUUAAUUCUGUAUGUAUGAGGCAGGAAAUAGUUCUGAAAUGCAGCAAUUUCCUCCCUAGAAAAGCAACUUACUUUGCAAAUAUUAAAGUCAAUAGUGCUUCAUGUCUCUGCCCAAAAGCAUUUAGCCUGAAGUGGAUGAUGGCAAUUUUGAUUGGGGAAAUAAAUUAUUUCAGAUAAAAUGAUCUACAUGAAAGAUAACAAAAGAACCCUACUCUGAAGUACUUGGCCAGUAGUAAGGGGUUUUGAUAUUCAUGUUACUCUGCCUCAGCAGACAAAUACUGAUUUUUCGGUUUAUUUACCUGAGCUGUUUGUAACUGCACAGACUGUAGAGGUGAAGUUCCAUUACUUACCACAAAAGGCAGUUAUGUAGUACAGCUUUUGGUGCUGCCUAAAGCAUCAAUAAUGAUAAGGUUUAGUGCCAUUUGUACAUCUGUUCUAGGAAUUCUUGGAAAAAGCAUGGGAACUUGGUUUAAAUAUGAAAUUGUAAGUUCAUGUUGACUUCUUAGCAUAUUAAAUAUAAUAUACUAUUUCUUUUUUUAUUAUUCUUCCACCCUCUUUACUUCAUUACCUGUGUCACUUGUUAUAUCUUUAAACUAGAAGCUGUUGUGAAUUGAAACCAUAUUUACAUAGUACUUGUUGGAGCACCUUAUUCUUUACAGGCAACCCUUGGUGCUACCUCAACAAUGCCACAGCACCAGCUUAGAUUUGUAAACCUGAUUUUAUUUAAUGAUUUCAUUUAUUUAGACCUUUUAUCUGUUGGAAAAGUUGGUUUGUCUGAGUGAGAAGAAUGAGCAAGAGAAUAAUCCUUCUGUGUCCAUGGGAUAGUGCAGUUGAAAUCUCCUGCUUUUCCUGCCAUCCUCAGUCCUAUUUCCCAAUCACACAAAUAUUAAACUUCGGAGAUGUUCAUCUGAUGCUGGGGAUAGAUUUAUUUUAAUGGUAGUAAUCUGUGAAUGACUGAAUUUAAAAUGAAUUUAUAUUGUAAUGGUUCUACGUUUUUUCAGAAUGUGUUUUGCUCCAUAACAGAGGCAGAUGUGUGAAAGCCUGGGGGCAGGCACAGAAUUUUAAUUGUGAUAAAGAGACAGUAGUCAUAGAAGAUUUUCCUGAGUGAUGCUCUGAGCAUUCUGAAACUCUUCCUAUUUCCUGGCAAUUUCUUGUUUAGAAUCUACAUUCUACAGGCAGGUUAUUAGCUGAUUGCAAAGUUUGAAAAGCCGCUUUGCAGGUACAAAAAUGAACAUGUUCCCAAGAAGACCGUCUGUUCUAAUCCAGCUAAUAGCUAUUAGUAUAAUUAUACACCAGACACAGUCCACAUCUAAAACAAGCAGUUAGCACGCAGACACAUGGAAUACCUUCCUCAUGUGUCAUGUUUUAAAUCAGAUCUCUCUGUUGUUAAAAUCUAUUGCUCAUGACUCUGAAGUAUUUUCCCUUCUCUAUCUUAUUUCCAGUAUUGCUUGUUUUCAAAUGUCAGAAUUACUAAAUUGUAGCUACUGAUACAAACUGAUACUGGUUUUAUAUCUGGCAAUCGAAUGGUGAAAUACUACUGCUGUUUUCUUAAGCUCAGUGUCAGGUGGCCAAUACCUUUUUCAGAUGAGUCAGUACAGCUGGUUUUAGAUGCUCCAGGAGCCCAAUGGAGACAACAAAUACUCUGGUGCAGGAAACCUGACAAGUUCCAGUCCUGGUUCUGAUCUGGAUGCCAGUUGUUUCUCAGACUACAAGAGAAAAAGAAGUGUCCAGUCACUUUAUGAUGGUUCUGGAAGGAACAGCUCAGGGAGCACUCAGAGCAUGUGAAGUACUUUGCUCAAACACCAAGGAGCAACAGCCUGACCUCUGUGUUUUAAAUGGGCUUCGUACCAAACUGAGCGGCUGUCUGAGUUAAAAACAUGGGACAGCAGGUCCCCUUCACCCUCCCUGACUGACCUGACUGCAUGACAGGUGACAUUUGCUGAUUGGCUGUGGAUAGAGAAGGAUGGGAUUUGAAUCUCUCUCGUUCCAGUGUUGAUACUGGUGUAAUAAAGUGACUUUGAUUCCAUCCAUCCUGCAGAGUGGAAAAAAGAAAAAUACAUCAGAAUAAAUUGCAAGUUAUAAAUAAAUGAGGAGUUUUUGUGGCACCAUUUUCCAGUGUAAGCUAAUUUUAUAAUUUACCUUUUUGUAAAUGCUCCGGAGGUCUCGGUACUGCCACAGCGUGUUCAGUACCUGGGCUGCCGCCUUGACAACCUUCAGUGAGGACCUGAGGGAGUGAAGAAUAUGGCAAUGUUAGAAGCCACUGAAUUCCACUUCAAAAGAACAGUGUUCCUGAGCUUCGUAACAGCCUGAACCUGCUGCUGUGAGGCAAACCAGACCCUGCAUCACCAGCGUGAGCACAGCCAAACCAGCAGCCUCAGCACGAGAUGGGGCACAACCUGAUCAACCUGACAAUCGCUUCCCUUUCCAGUCUGGAAUGUUCUCUCCAGGUAACCCACAUGAGGAAUACAGAGAAAAUAGUUGAAAUAGCGACUUGUCAGUGUCAGCAAAAAUUAAAAAUCAUUUAAAGAAACAUUCUAUUUGAUGCAUUUCAUAAAAAUGGAGACUUCAGACUUUAAACCACAGUACAAAACCCCUAACUGAAGGAAAAGAAUAAGAAAUAAAAGCAAGCUGCUAUUAAAAGCCUCCAGACAUCCUCA